rnacentral:rRNA from 1 species
CUGGGCGUAAAGACGCAUGCAGGUGGUUUGGUUUAAGUUCAGAUGUGAAAGACCCGGGGCCGUCAACCUACCGGAAUAAGCAUUUGUAAACUAGGCAGACUAGAGUACUGUAGAGGGGGGUAGGGAAUUUCUAGGUGUAGCGGUGAAAUAGCGUAGAGAUCUGAAGGAAUACCGGUGGCGAAGGCGGCCCCCCUCGGACAGAUACUGACACUCAGAUGCGAAAGCGUGGGGGAGCAAACAGGAUUAGAUACCCCUGGUAG